CAGUAGCCGCGGUAACACGAAGGGGGCUAGCGUUGUUCGGAUUUACUGGGCGUAAAGCGCACGUAGGCGGAUCGAUCAGUCAGGGGUGAAAUCCCAGAGCUCAACUCUGGAACUGCCUUUGAUACUGUCGAUCUGGAGUAUGGAAGAGGUGAGUGGAAUUCCGAGUGUAGAGGUGAAAUUCGUAGAUAUUCGGAGGAACACCAGUGGCGAAGGCGGCUCACUGGUCCAUUACUGACGCUGAGGUGCGAAAGCGUGGGGAGCAAACAGGAUUAGAUACCCCCGUAGUCCCUGUCUCUUAUAA
rnacentral:rRNA from 1 species